rnacentral:rRNA from 1 species
GCAAGAUACCACGGGCGCACGGCGGAUGCCUUGGCACAGGGAGCCGAUGAAGGACGCGGCAAGCUGCGAUAAUCCCCGGCGAGGAGCACACAUCCUUCGACCCGGGGGUCUCCGAAUGGGCGAACCCAUGCACAGCAGUGUGCAUAUCCCCACCCCGAACACAUAAGGGUGGGGAGGACAACCCGGGGAACUGAAACAUCUAAGUACCCGGAGGAGAGGAAAUCAAUCUCGAGACUCCCCGAGUAGCGGCGAGCGAAAGGGGACCGAUGGCCAAACCGUCGAGCGGGGAUACCCGGCAGGGGUUCCGCCGGCGGGGUUGCAGGGCCGCGCAUCCGGGGGCUGCCGCCCCCGGGCGCAGGUCCGGCUGGGGAGCGGAACGGCAUGGGAGGGCCGGCCGCAGCGGGUGACAGCCCCGUACGCGAACCCAGACCGGACGGCGCGACGCGGUCCCUGAGUAGGGCCGGGCACGUGAAACCCGGUCCGAACCUGGGUGGACCACCAUCCAAGCCUGAGUACUACCCUGUGACCGAUAGCGCACCAGUACCGUGAGGGAAAGGUGAAAAGCACCCCGGGAGGGGAGUGAAACAGUACCUGAAACCGUGCGCCCACGAGCAGUCGGAGCACCUUUAUGGUGUGACGGCGUGCCUUUUGUAGAAUGAGCCAGCGAGUCGCUGGCGCGGGGCGAGGUUAACCGAAAGGGAGCCGGAGCGAAAGCGAGCCUUAACAGGGCGACUUGAGUCCCGCGCCGCGGACGCGAAGCCGGGUGAGCUAUCCGUGGGCAGGCUGAAGCGGGGGUAAGACCCCGUGGAGGGCCGAACGCACGUCGGUUGAAAACGGCGGCGAUGACCUGCGGAUAGGGGUGAAAGGCCAAUCAAACCCGGAGAUAUCUCGUUCUCCCCGAAAUAGCUUUAGGGCUAGCGUCGCGCGUUCACCGCCGGAGGUAGAGCACCGGAUGGACGAGGGGGCUUCGCCGCCUACCGAAUCCAACCGAACUCCGAAUGCCGGCGGCCCAGAGCGCGGCAGUCAGAGCAUGUGGGCUAAGCUGUGUGCUCGAGAGGGAAACAGCCCGGACCGCCCGCUAAGGUCCCCAAGUUCCAGCCGAGUGGCAAAGGAUGUGCGUCCGCCCAGACAACCAGGAUGUUGGCUUAGAAGCAGCCAUCCAUUCAAAGAGUGCGUAACAGCUCACUGGUCGAGUGGACAUGCGCCGACAAUACACGGGGCUAAGCUGGACACCGAAGCGGCGGGAUUUUGAUUUACAGAAUCGGUAGGGGAGCUUCCCAUGGGCGGAGAAGCCGGAGGGCGACCGACGGUGGAGCGCAUGGGAGUGAGAAUGCUGGCAUGAGUAGCGAGAGACGAGAGAGUAACUCGUCCGCCGUGAACCCGAGGUUUCCUGGGCAAGGCUAAUCCUCCCAGGGUCAGUCGGGGGCUAAGGCGAGGCCGGGAGGCGUAGCCGACGCGCAGCAGGCAGACAUUCCUGCACCGCGCACGCGGCGCUACGACCGACGGGGCGACGGAUGGGGGUGGCUCGGCGGGGUUCUGGACGUCCCCGUGAUGGAGCGCGGCCCGCGGACCAGGGAAAUCCGGUCCGCACGAGGGCGAGGCUCCGGACGAAGCGACUGAGCGAAGCGAGUGAGCCCGAGGUCCCUAGAAAAACCCCUAGGCAGGCGCGUGCGCGCCCGUACCGCAAACCGACACAGGUGGGUGGGUAGAACAUACCGAGGCGAUCGGGUCAACCAUGGUCAAGGAACUCGGCACAAUGGCCCCGUAACUUCGGGAGAAGGGGUGCCCGCGCGUACGUGAACCGGCUCGCCCGGGGAGCGGAGGCGGGCCGCAGUGGAGAGGCCCAAGCGACUGUUUACCAAAAACACAGGACUCUGCAGAAGCCGCAAGGCGACGUAUAGGGUCUGACGCCUGCCCGGUGCCGGAAGGUCACGCGGAGGAGUUAGCCGUUAAGGCGAAGCCCCGAAGCCAAGCCCCGGUAAACGGCGGCCGUAACUAUAACGGUCCUAAGGUAGCGAAAUUCCUUGUCGGGU